UCACAACGCCGGCUAGGCGGGGAAGGACUGCAAGGACAAGCAGGAUUCCCUGGUCUAUCCGACAGCUACGCUAACCAUGGCGGACCUACAGAAGAAGACCAUCAAACUGUGAGGCCGAGCUCCAGCGAGAGGUGGAGGCGCUAGAACAGAAGUGGCAACAACUGCACUCGCCCUCGUCCCAUCCCCCUUCCUCCACAAGAGCUGGCGAUACAGGUGGAGGGAAACGCGCACUUUCUUGGCUUUCGCCCGUCAUUCAUGCAUGAAGCGAGAGCUGGCCUGGAUGCACAGAUUCACCAGAGUUUGUCGGUCGACCUAUGCACCAACCCCGAUAAGAAAAUCGCUGGGAACGUGCGGUUCCUUCUGGGUCAUCCAGCCAAGUUUGUUCGAUCGCAAUGUCAAGUGCAGAACUUAACGUUCUUCCUCAGUUCCAUGACACAGUCCUCCUCUUAGCUGCAGGCAGGCCAGCUAAGCCAUGACGACCCUCACCUCAUAGAAGAAAAUCAAAUUCACCGGCGAGAUGGUCUAACAGACCUUUACGGAAGGGCCAAAACAGAGGUUGUAAUCUUCCCUACCAACCUCUGCUUGGAGAGCACAGAUCGUUCACGUCAAGCCGCCGCCGG